AGUGAACGCUGGCGGCGUGCCUAAUACAUGCAAGUCGAACGGAGUGGCGCACGGGUGAGUAAUAUAUAGCUAAUCUGCCCCUUGCUGGAGGACAACAGUUAGAAAUGACUGCUAAUACUCCAUAGCAAGGGAUGGGACGAUAUCGUAUCAGCUGGUCGGUGGGGUAACGGCCUACCGAGGCUAUGACGCGUAACUGGUCUGAGAGGAUGAGCAGACACAUUGGAGGGGAGACACGGUCGGAACUCCUAGGGGAGGGAGCAGAAGGGAAUAGUGCGAAACGGGGGAAGCGCUGACGGAGCAACGCCCCGUGAAGGAUGAUACUUGUGAGAGCGGAAACUCCGUUUGUAAAGGAAACGGUACCUAACGAAUAAGCGCCGGCUAACUCCGUGCCAGCAGCCGCGGUAAUUC
rnacentral:rRNA from 1 species